GGGGUGGCACCUUUAGGCUGCCACAUCCAGGCAGCACCUCGGUGUGGGCAUGGUGUCCACUCCUUUUUUUUCCCUUAAGUUUUAUUCAAGUAUAGUGGAUUUACAAUGUUGUGCUAACUUCUGAUGUACAACACAGUGAUGCGGUUAUAUAUGUACAUACAUCCAUUCUCUUUCAGAUUCUUUCCCCACGUUGGACUUCCCAUGUGGCUCACAACAGGUUCUUUUUGGACACAGAUUCUCAUAGAAUAUUGGGUAGAGUUCCCUGUGCUCUACAGCAGGUCCCCUUUGGCCAUCAUUCCAUACACCUCAGUGUGCAUGCGCCCGUCCCUAACCCCCAGCCUAUCCCUCCCUUGCUACAACUGUCCUGUUUGGUAAUGUUAAGUGUUUUUUUUUUUUUUUGUCUUUUUGCUAUUUCUUUGGGCCGUUCCCACGGCAUAUGGAGGUUUCCAGGCUAGGGGUCGAAUCGGAGCUGUAGCCACUGGCCUACGCCAGAGCCACAGCAACUCGGGAUCCGGGCCGCAUCUGCAACCUACACCACAGCUCAUGGCAACACUGGAUUGUUAACCCACUGAGCAAGGGCAGGGACCGAACCCGCAACCUCAUGGUUCCUAGUCAGAUUCGUUAACCACUGCGCCACGACAGGAACUCCUGUUUUGUUUUUUAAAUGGUUUUCUUUUUUCGUUAACUCAAUGAAUUUUACUAUAUUUAUAGUUGUACAACCAUCAUCCCACCCCAAUUUUACAGCAUUUCCAUCCCAAACCCUCAGCCCAUCCUUCCCCCACAACCUGUCUCCUUCCCUAACCACAAGUUUUUUUUCUUUUUUUUUUUAACCAAAUUUAUUUAUUUGUGUGUGUGUGUGUGUCCUUUGUCUUUUGAGGGCCACACCCAUGGCAUAUGGAGGUUCCCAGGCUAGGGGGUCUAAUCGGAGCUACAGCUGCCGGCCUACGCCACAACCACACCAGAUCUGAGCUGUGUCUGUGACCUACACCACAGCUUACGGCAACACUGGAUCCUUAACCCACUGAGCGAGGCCAGGGAUCAAACCAGCAACCUCAUGGUUCCUAGCUGGAUUCAUUUCUGCUGCGCCACGACAGGAACUUCAGGUAACCGUAAGUUUUUCAAAGUCCAUGAGUCAGUUUGUGUUCUGCAAAGAAGUUCAUUGUAUGCUUUUUUUAGAUUCCACGUUUAAGUGAUAGCAUGUGACCUUUGUGUCUUACUGUCUGCCUAACUUCAGUUAGCAUGAUAGUUUCUGGUUCUAUCCAUGUUUCUGCAAAUGCUGUUAUUUCAUUCCUUUUUAUGGCUGAGUGAUAUUCCAUCGUGUGUAUGUACCACAUCUUCUUUAUGCACUCCUCUGUCGAUGGACAUUUAGGUUAGGUCCAUGUCUUGGCUAUUGUACAUAGUGCUGCAGUGAACGCUGGAGUGCAUGUAUCUUUUCGAGUCAUGGUUUUCUCUGGAUAGAUACCCAGGAGUGGGAUUGCUGGGUCAAAUGGUAAUUCUAUUUUCAGUUUUUUGAGGAAUCUCUAUAGUGUUUUUCAUAGCUGUUGCACCAGUUUAUAUUCCCACCAACAAUUUAAUAGAGUUCCCUUUUCUCCACACCCUUCCAGCAUUUAUUGUUUGUAGACUUUUUGAUGAUGGCCAUUCUGGCUGGUGUAAGGUGGUACCUCAUAGUAGUUUUGAUUUGCAUUUCUGUAAUAAUUAGUGAUGUUGAACAUCUUUUCAUGUAUUUUUUGGCCAUCAGUAUGUCUACUUUGGAGAAUCUUCUGCCCAUCUUUUGAUGUGGUUUUUUUUUCCGUAUUGAGCUGCAGGAGGUAUUUACAUAUUUUGGAGAUUAAUCCUUUGUCCAUCAUUUUGUUUCCAAAUAUUUUCUCUCAUUACGUGGGUUGUCUUUUCAUUUUGUUUAGGGUUUUCUUGCUGUGCAAAAACUUUUCAAGUUUAAUUAGGUCCCAUUUGUUUAUUUUUGUUUCUUUGUUUUUUUUGUCUUUUUUUUUUUUGUCUUUUUGGGGCCACAGUGGUGGCAUAUGGAGGUUCCCAGGCUAGAGGUUGAAUUGGAGCUAUAGCUGCUGGCUAAUGCCACAGCCACAGCAACACCAGAUCCGAGCCAUGUCUGUGACCUACACCAGAGCUCACAGCAAUGCUGGAUCCUUAACCCACUGAACAAGGGCAGGGAUUGGGUCUGUGUCCUCAUGGAUACUAGUCAGAUUUGUUUCUGCUGAGCCACAACAGGAACUCCCUAUUUUUGUUUUUAUCAUCAUUGCUCUAGGAGGCAGAUCUGAGAAGAUAUUGCUGUGGUUUAUGUCAGAGAGUGGCCUAUGUUUUCCUCUAAGAGUUUUAUAGUUUAUUUUUGUGUAUGGUAUUAGGGAGUGUUUUAAUUUCAUUCUUUUACAUGUAGCUGUCCAGUUUUCCCAUUACCACUUAUUAAAGGGACUGUCCUUUCUCCAUUCUAUAUUCUUGACUCCUUUUCCAUGGAUCACUUGACCAUAGGUGCAUGGGUUUAAUUCUGGGCUUUCUAGUCCACUGAUCUAUAUUUCUAUUUUUGUGUCAGUACCAUACUGUUUUGAUGACUAUACCUUUGAAGUAUAGUCUAAACUCAGGAAGCCUGAUUCCUCCAGGUCCGUUUUUCUUCCUUAGUAUGGCUUUGGCUAUUCAGGGUCUUUUGUGUUUCCAAACAAAAGUAAAAUAUUUUGUUGUAGUUCUGUGAAAAAUGGUAAUUGGUAAUUGAAAAAUGUGUAAUUGGUAAUUUCAUAGGGAUUGCAUGGAAUCUGUAAAUUGCCUUGGAUAGUAUAGUCAUUUUGACAAUAUUUAUUCUUCCAAUCUUGUAUAUCUUUCCAUCUGUUUGUGUUAAUUUUGAUUUCUUUCAUUGGCAUCUUAUAGUUUUCAGAGUACAGGUCUUUUGUCUCUUUAGGUAGGUUUAUUCCUAGGUAUUUUAUUCUUUUUGACAUGAUGGUAAAUGGGAUUUGUUCCCUAAUUUCUCUUUCUGAUCUUUCAUAGUUAGUAUCUAGAAAUGCAGUCAAUUUCUGUAUAUAAAUUUUGUAUCCUGCAACUUUACCAGAAUCACUGAUGAGCUCUAAUAGUUUUCUGGUAGUGUCUUUAGGAUUUGUUGGGUAUAGUAUCAUGUCAUCUGCAGUCAGUGAUAGUUUUACUUCUUCCUUUCCAAUUUGGAUUCCUUUUAUUUCUUUUUCUUCUUUGAUUGUCAUGGCUAGGACUUCCAAAACUUUGUUGAAUAGUAGUGGCAAGAGCAGACAUCCUUGUCUUGCUCCUGAUCUUAGUGGGAGUUCUUUCAGCUCUUCACCAUUGAGAAUGACGUUAGCUGUGGGUUUGUCAUAUAUGGCCUUUAUUAUGUUAAGAUAGGUUCCCUCUUUCUGGAGGGGUUUUAUCAGAAAUGGGUGUUGGGUUUUGUCAAAAACUUUUUGUGCAUCUAUUGAGAGGAUCAUAUGGUUUUCAUUCUUUAGUUUGUUAAUGUGGUGUAUCACACUGAUUGAUUUGAGGUAUUGAAAAAUCCUUGUAUCCCUUGGAUAAAUCCCACUUGAUCAUGGUGUACAAUCCUUUUAAUGUAUUGCUGGAUUCAGUUUGUUAGUAUUUUGUUGAGGAUUUUUGCAUCUAUGUUCUUCAGUGCUUUUGGCCUGUAAAUUUCUUUUUUUUUUGUGGUAUCUUUGUCUGGCUUUGGUACCAGGGUGAUGGUGCCCUCAUAGAAUGAGUAUGGGAUUGUUCCUUUCUCUGCAAUUUUUUGGAAUAGUUUCAGAAGGAUAGGUGUUAAUUCUUCUCUAAACGUUGAUAGAAUUUGCCUGUGAAGGAGUUCCCAUCGUGGCUCAGCAGAAAUGAAUCAGACUAGGAACCAUGACGUUGCAGGUUCAAUCCCUGGCCUUACUCAGUGGGUUAAGGAUCUGAUGUUGCCAUGAGCUGUGGUGUAGGUUGCAGAUGCAGCUUGGAUCUGGUGUGGCUGUGGCAUAGGCUGGCAGCUACAGCUCUGAUUCGAUUCAAUCCCUAGACAGGGAACCUCCAUGUGCUGUGAAUUAAGCCCUAAAAAGAAAAAAAAAAAAAAAAAA
rnacentral:lncRNA from 1 species